rnacentral:rRNA from 1 species
AUUGAACGCUGGCGGCAUGCCUUACACAUGCAAGUCGAACGGCAGCACGGGAGCAAUCCUGGUGGCGAGUGGCGAACGGGUGAGUAAAGUAUCGGAACGUGCCCAGUCGUGGGGGAUAACGUAGCGAAAGUUACGCUAAUACCGCAUACGAUCUAUGGAUGAAAGCGGGGGAUCGCAAGACCUCGCGCGAUUGGAGCGGCCGAUAUCAGGUUAGGUAGUUGGUGGGGUAAAGGCUCACCAAGCCGACGAUCUGUAGCUGGUCUGAGAGGACGACCAGCCACACUGGGACUGAGACACGGCCCAGACUCCUACAGGAGGCAGCAGUGGGGAAUUUUGGACAAUGGGCGAAAGCCUGAUCCAGCCAUGCCGCGUGCAGGAUGAAGGCCUUCGGGUUGUAAACUGCUUUUGUACGGAACGAAAAGGUUUGGCCUAAUAAGCUGAGCUCAUGACGGUACCGUAAGAAUAAGCACCGGCUAACUACGUGCCAGCCGCCGCGGUAA